GGGAGGAAUAAGAGGCUGAUUAUAAAGAGAACUUCUAUUUACACACAAAGAGAAAUGAGGGAAGAAGGAAAGAAAGGGAAAAGGAGAAAGAAAAUAUCUACUUAUUAGGUUUACGUAGAAUUAUGUAUUCUUUGGUAUUAAAUAUUCUGUUUAGAUUCAGUUAAUAUAUGAAUCCAGCUCCAGACAAAAUAUUCACAAUGGCCAAUAUAUAUCCAGUCCUGCUCACUGGCUGCUACUUUUUUCUACUUGCUGUGCCAGCUCCAAAGAAAAAGUCAGAUUCACCAAAAACCAGAGGAAAGCUGAAAGGUAAUUUGAACCAUCGUCAGGUAGAUUAUUAAAUUUGUUAAAAGUCUGCUGUCAUUUUGUAAUGGCUGCUUAAGUUUUGUAAAAGACCAUCUGUACCAAGUAUAGCCAAGACCUGGACACCAAAGAACUUAAGUGAAGGUAGACAUUUGGAGAAACGAACAGGGAAAACAGAGGCACAUGAAUGGUAAUGGGCUGAGCCAGCUGAAUUACACACAAAACAUGUACUGUCACAUCAAUAAACAGUCCCUCAAGACAUAUAUGAUGAUAUGUGUAGACACUAUGCCUUGUACCUGGUGAUGGGGGACAGCUUGCAGCACAGAUGGAUAAAGAUGACCAGGAAAGCUGUCGACCUGCAUGCAAAAAACAGGGCCAGAAAAAGCCAGACAGGAAGCAGAGAAUAAGCUAAACCAAUGCUCAGCCAAAGCACAAAGACGAUUAACAUUCAGAGAGAAGUAGUGAGGAUAAGGUCUCUUUCUCUAUUAGGAGUGCUGCUGGAAUUUACAGUUUAAAAGAAUAUGUAUCUGGGAUCCUAGAAGAGCUUCUAUACAGGAGAAAACCGUCAAGGCAGCUUGUGUGUAAGGUCUAACACUGCCCGCCACCACACCCAUCUAAUUUAAGGAUGUAUCUCAUGAAGUUCCCAAUGAACAUUAAAUGCUCAUAUCACUGAAACUGCAUUUGAAUUGGAAGUGGCUGACAGGCAGGCUUGUUUGUAGAAUCAGAAGAGAGGUCAAGGACUGAUUGGACAUGGAGACUUAAGUAUCUGCUCUCGCUCACAUAUGAUCCUCCAUAAGAGGAUGGGGGAACAUUAAUGAAGCAUGCACUGCUGGUGUCCAAGCUCUAUCUACACAGAAAGAAGACUUAAAUUUCCAAUGCUAUCCUUUCAAAAAGAUUUUCCAUUUAAUUUUUUCCUGCCCAUAUUAACCUUCUGAUUUAAAUUUUAUAUAUGUGUGUGACAAUAAUGCAUAUUGAUUAUACAAUGGUAUGACAACUGCAAAGACAAGAGCAUGGACUAUAGCAACAAGCUAACUCUAUUCCAGUAGCUUUACCUUCUGGAUUUCUGAUUAUGCUAUGCCCAGACCCAAAUUUAUCCCU